rnacentral:rRNA from 1 species
UACGUAGGGUGCAAGCGUUGUCCGGAAUUAUUGGGCGUAAAGAGCUCGUAGGUGGUUCGGUAAGUCGGAUGUGAAAUCUCCAGGCUCAACCUGGAGGGGUCAUUCGAUACUGCCGUGACUAGAGGUCGGUAGGGGAGUGUGGAAUUCCUGGUGGAGCGGUGAAAUGCGCAGAUAUCAGGAGGAACACCCGUAGUGAAGGCGGCACUCUGGGCCGAUACUGACGCUGAGGAGCGAAAGCGUGGGGAGCGAACAGG